UUGAUGUAUGAGUUCAAGAGG
rnacentral:miRNA from 1 species